rnacentral:lncRNA from 1 species
ACGAAUAAAUGGAUUUGGCAGCCAAAAAUUUGAAGUACAAGAAGAAAAUUUAUGAUAUAUACAAUAAAGAACAUUCAAACUAAUAUCAAGUUAGCUAUUAAUGAUUGAGAAACUAAAUUGAGUCAUGUUUUUACUCUACUCAGGCUGAGGGUCAAUUAGACAUAUAUAGUUUCUCUACCUUGAAAACAGACCCUAAAUUACAUCAUGUUUAUCUACUAACAACAACCAUAUUUCCAACCUAAUUAAUAACACAAGGAAAAAAUUGCUUCCAAGACAUGUGUGAUUACAAUGAUAUUGCCAUACAACAUAACCCUAUCAUAAUAAUAAUAAAUCUCCUAGCUAUCAUCUUAGAUCCAAA